AGGUGGGGCUACUGUUUCAGGGCCCGCCCUUGUCCCCUGGCAACAGCAGGACCCUCAUCUGUGGCAAGCAUCCAAGGACACCCUCGGUGUAUUUGAGGAGGACUGGCCAGUUAUUCAGCGAACACUGGUCUUACUGUAAGCUCGGCUGUGUCCAUUUAAAGCCUACCAAAAGGGACCAACUGCAACAAAGAGGGUGCAGUAGAGCCCGUGGAUACCAGAUGUCUCCUGACUAAGCAGGGGGUUAGUGGAGGCGGCCUGCGUUUCCUCAAAUCUGCACCUGUUUAGUUACAACCACCAACUUUAUAAGAGGAAAUUGCCUACGUGCCUGGCGGCUGAAGGACAGAAUUAGCAGUACUCUUAACGUGUGAACACAGCAGUGCCUCCUGUGCAGCUCUGGACCACAGCGUUGCAAGACUGGGGCCUCCUGAGGGCAGAAAACUGUCAAGUCCUCCUUUGCCCUUUGGUAAAAUAGUCUUUCCCAAAUUAGGGCUCAGUAUAAAGCUUUCCUGUUCAUGUUC